ensembl:lncRNA
AGGAAUCUGCAUUUUAGUCACAACUUUUCCCCUCCCCAUUAUGUUGAUGCGGAUGCUCCUCUGGCCCCAGUUCAGGAACCAUUAUUAGGCUACCAAGAAUUCUUUUCUUCCAAUUGGUCAACACCUUCCUUGGCAGGGCCAGGCCAGUUCAAAAGCCACAUCUAGUACAAAUUGGGCUAGUAGGAUGAUACCUUUACUGCUCAGUUGGUUGUUUUGGCAACAUUAAUUCUAGUAGGACCAGAAGCAAUCAAUAGAUUUAGUCAUUUAGAUCCUCAGGAAUUUAAAGAUGGACUCAAGACCCAAAAACUCUGUCCAGUUUACAGAGUGUUCCAAGAAAUGUGUGGAAGAAGAUCAAGAUGGUGAAGGAUUUAAAAACCAUGACAUACGCAAAGUGGCUGAAAGACCUAAUGGCUCUGAAGGACAUGGGAAAGGAGCUACAGCAUUGUUUUCAUAAUCUGGGUUCUCCAGCUACCCAUUACCAAUUAAGAGGAGCUGAUACAUGCAUUUUACGUGCAAUCGAGGCCAAAUCCCUCUGGAAUAAUUUUUUGGAAUGAGAUGUAAAUAAAUGAUAAAUCUUCCCAGAAGAGUAGCCCUGAACAAAUGAUAAACAUAGUCCACCCGGCCCUGAAGAAGUGCAAUCGACAGUAACUUUUAGGAUCAAGAAUCCAGCUCCCGCAGAGAUGAGCACCAGAUUUUAUACAAAGCCGGACACACUUGACCACAGCAGCCCUACAUCUCUUUGGCUCACCCGCUUUCUCUGCCCUCCCCACUGCUUUUUCCUCACAGAGAGAAGAGGAACAGCAGAAAGAAGAGAGUGGAUAGGAGGGAAGUUCCUAUAAUAUGAGAAACACACUAGAAGAAAAAUCACUGUGAAGCAACGUGUCCUCAAUGCCUUCUGUGGCACAGUAUAUACCACUUCUAAAGCUUCUGAGAUCCUUGGGGAAAUGCACUGUAUAUCUUUGGGGAAAACCACCAAAUGUGGUGGCAACCAUUCGGUGUUAGUGAAGAUGGGAGAAAUGAGGGAGCUGUGCUGUUUUCCAGACGGCCUUUCGUAUCAUGGUGUUCUUGCCCACCAGCACCACAGCUUUCCCAUAGAGAAACAUACAGAUCUGCUGCUUCUACUUGGAGCCUACAUUGUCUGCUCCAACAUAAAGCAUUUUGGAUAAUCAUCCAAUAGUUGGACAAUCUGAAGGAAGGAGUUGUACUUCCAGGUCACCCUAUCUUCCCUGGGCAUCCUGGUAGUGCAUCAGGGAUUGCCACAUGGGUUUAAAGAUGAGGCACGAGGAUGCCUAUUGAGAGGAGGCCCAACAUUUUCAGAGAAUCUUGGUAGUUAGGCAUAAAACCAAAUAUUUAUUUACAAAAAUGUUUGCUCCACUAUGACUCAGAAUAGAAAAAGAUCCUAAAUUACCAAUAAUAGGGGCUUUGUAAAUAGUUUAUUUGAUGCCAAUACAUUGGAAUCGUACUAUUGAGUUAUUUAAAAAAUCUUAAGUGGAAAUCUAUUCAAGCGAGAAAAUAUCUCUAAAAUGUUGUCAAGAGACAAAGAAAGACAUAGUAGAAUGUGUAUAAUAUGAUCUCCAUUUUAUGGCAUAUAUGGAAAAUAUUUAUACAAAAGUAUUCAUGUGAUUAUACUAGAUGGUUGAGAUCAUGAAUGAGUUAUUGAUUUUCUCUCCUCUUUUUGUAAUUUAAAAUUUUUUUACAUUAAAUAAUUAUUAUUUAUGCAAUCAGAAAAAGUGUAUAUUAACAAAAUAGUGACAAAUAAAAUCUCUUGGGAAGGAUGGUGUGGCCUUUUUGAGAAAUACAAGCAAGUUUGGGAGAAAGCUAGAAGACUAAUAAAACACGUACUACGUGAAUGGCUAAAAUGAAAGACAAGCAACUCCAUGUGUUGGUGAUAUUGUAGAUUAAUCAGAACCCUCCUGUGCUCACAGUGGGAGUAUGUGUUAGUUUAAGUACUUCGGCAUAUUAUUUGGCAGUAUCUAGUAAAACUGAACAUGAGCACUCUCUAAGACCCAGUAAUUUCACUUGUGAAAAUACCCCUAGAAGAAAUGCAUACAGAUAGUCCCCAUAAAAUAUGUAUAAAAAUGUGCAUGACAGAAUUAUUUGUGAUAGUCCCAAAGUGAAACCAACUCAAAUAUGCAUCAGGAGUAAAAUGAAUAUAUAAAUUAUGGUGUUUUCAUACAACAGUGAAACAAUGCUAUAUGCAACAAUGUGGAUGAUUUUCACAAAUAUAAUAUUGAGCAAAAGAAGCCAAUAUAUACUGUAUUAUUCUAUUUAUAUAACAUUAAAAAAACAAGGAAAAGUCAUCUAUGUGUUAUAUAUUGAGAUAGCAGUUACUUUUAGAAGGGUAAUGCCUGCCACGGGGCAUGAAGUGGUUGGUGUUUCAUUUCUUGAUUUGGGCGCUGCUUACAUGGUUUCUGGACUUGUAAAAAAAAAAAAACCAUUAAACUGAACACUUGUACAUGUGUUACACUUUGAUGAAAUGUGUAGUUUAAGAAAAGUUGCUAAAGAAACCAUUUAUGUAUGUUAUAUUAAGUUAUCUGGUGGAAGGCUGAGUUAGAACACGAUUUAAAAAGAAAAAGAUUAAAGGUAAACCUAGUUGCCAGAAAACCCA